UACGUAGGUGGCAAGCGUUUGUCCGGAAUUAUUGGGCGUAAAGCGCGCGCAGGCGGUCCUUUAAGUCUGAUGUGAAAGCCCCACGGCUCAACCGUGGAGGGUCAUUGGAAACUGGGGGACUUGAGUGCAGAAGAGGAAAGCGGAAUUCCACGUGUAGCGGUGAAAUGCGUAGAGAUGUGGAGGAACACCGUGGCGAAGGCGCUUUCUGGUCUGUAACUGACGCUGAGGCGCGAAAGCGUGGGGAGCAAACCAGG
rnacentral:rRNA from 1 species